rnacentral:pre_miRNA from 1 species
GAAGUACUUCCUCCGUUCCGAAUUACUUGUCGCAAAUAUGGAUGUAUCUAGAUGUAUUUUAGUUCUAAAUACAUCCAUUUCUGCGACGAGUAAUUUGGAAUGAAGAAAGUAUGUG